AAUCUUAUAGUUUAAAAAAACAUUAAAUUGCAAAUUUAAAAUUAACUUUUAGUUUAAGAUUU
rnacentral:tRNA from 1 species